AUUGAACGCUGGCGGCAUGCUUUACACAUGCAAGUCGGACGAGUGGCGAACGGGUGAGUAAUAUAUCGGAACGUCCCGAGUAAUGGGGGAUAACUAAUCGAAAGAUUAGCUAAUACCGCAUAUUAUUCGAGCGGCCGAUAUCUGAUUAGCUAGUUGGUGGGGUAAAGGGCUACUAAGGCGACGAUCAGGAGCGGGUCUGAGAGGAUGAUCGGCCGCACUGGGACUGAGGAACGGCCCAACCGCCUACGUGAGGCAGCAGUGGGGAAUUGUGGACAAUGGGCGCAAGCCUGAUACAGCCAUGCCGCGUGUCUGAGGAAGGCAUUCGGGUUGUAAAGGACUUUUGUUAGGGAAGCGGUACCUGAAGAAUAAGCACCGGCUAACUACGUGCCAGCAGCCGCGGUAAUAC
rnacentral:rRNA from 1 species